rnacentral:misc_RNA from 1 species
GUAUAUGAUUAUUAUAGGCACAUAGGCCCAUUGAUCACAUUCUACGACAUACAAUGUGGUAUAUGAAUACAUAGUACUCGAGGGAGAGGUUUUAUAAGUCAUUUAAGAAGAGCUGUACGCUUUCGCACUCAGCAAUCCUCACGUCCGGAAAGGCUAUAGCCAUCCGAUAGCCGACUGAUCUCAACCCCCAAGACUACAAAAGGUGCACAGGUGGAUGAAUAGAGUCAAGACAAGCGUGCACAUGCCCCGAAGAGCCAGCUACAACCCAUCAAGAAUAUUCAAUAAUGAUCCUUCCGCAGGUUCACCUACGGAAA